rnacentral:rRNA from 1 species
CAGUCGCCGCGGUAAUACGUAGGUGGCGAGCGUUGUCCGGAUUUAUUGGGCGUAAAGGGAGUGUAGGCGGUCUUUUAAGUCUGAUGUGAAAGCCCACGGCUCAACCGUGGAGGGUCAUUGGAAACUGGGAGACUUGAGUGCAGAAGAGGAGAGCGGAAUUCCAUGUGUAGCGGUGAAAUGCGUAGAUAUAUGGAGGAACACCAGUGGCGAAGGCGGCUCUCCGGUCUGUAACUGACGCUGAGGCUCGAAAGCGUGGGGAGCGAACAGGAUUAGAUACCCGAGUAGUCCCUGUCUCUUAUAC